rnacentral:rRNA from 1 species
AUUGAACGCUGGCGGCAGGCCUAACACAUGCAAGUCGAGCGGGGUUUUCGGACCUAGCGGCGGACGGGUGAGUAAUGCGUAGGAAGCUGCCCGAUAGAGGGGGAUACCAGUUGGAAACGACUGUUAAUACCGCAUAAUGUCUACGGACCAAAGUGUGGGACCUUCGGGCCACAUGCUAUCGGAUGCGCCUACGUGGGAUUAGCUAGUUGGUGAGGUAAUGGCUCACCAAGGCGACGAUCUCUAGCCGGUUUGAGAGGAUGAUCAGCCACACUGGAACUGAGACACGGUCCAGACUCCUACGGGAGGCAGCAGUGGGGAAUAUUGGAUAAUGGGCGCAAGCCUGAACCAGCCAUGCCGCGUGUGUGAAGAAGGCCUUCGGGUUGUAAAGCACUUUCAGCGAGGAGGAAGGGUGGUGUGUUAAUAGCACAUCAUUUUGACGUUACUCGCAGAAGAAGCACCGGCUAACUCUGUGCCAGCAGCCGCCGUAACAC